ensembl:lncRNA
GAAAGGAAUAGUGCACUUGGUUCAGUCACCAAAAUGUACAAAUAAUAGAGAAGUAAGAAGCACAGACCAGAAAUCAUCUCCCAGUCUGGAGUGUGUGCUCACCGCAGAGCUGUUUUUGUGUCAUUGCGUACAACAGCUGGACGCCACACAAUGGUCUGUUAUUUCUCGUGUCGUGGGUCAGUGGGCGGUUCUGCUGAUCUACGCUGGGUUAGCGGGGCUCCCUCACCCAGUGCUGGGGGCUGGGAUGGACGAUCCAAGUGGCCUUGGCGGGGAUGACCAGCCAUGCUUCACAUGUCCACCCUCCACCGGGCUGGCCAGGAGAGAGCCCGGAACACACAGGCUUCCUAGCUUGGACCUGGCACAGCGUCACUUCUGUCACAUCCCAAGGCCUGGACUCCAGGGCAGAGGAGAUGGAACCCCCUCUGGUGGGAGAAGCUGCUGUCACACGGCAGAGGCCUGCGUGCUGGGAGGGGAACCAGCCAGCUGGGGUCAGGCCUUCACAGCCUUCCAACUCAUAAUCAUUCUGCAGCAAUCGGUUGCAUGAACUUUAUGAUUUCGUUCACUACAAAUGUCAGCAAAUGUGAAAUGUCCCCGGAGGUUCAAACCCCCAUGUCGUUAGUGCUUCCUACAGCGCUGGAUCCCUUUGUGACCAUCUCUCCAUGGUAAUCAGCAGGCACAAAGCAACUGGCUUUAAUCUCCACAGGGGCCAACUGCUCAGGAAAUUAUUUGGGGCUGGCAGCUGCCCCGGCCUCCUAGACGCGCCUGUACGCGCCUCGACAUUCACACCACAGACGCAGCUGUGCAGGCCCCUGACGUCCCCGGAAAAUGCAGAGUCAGCACAUAAAGUAAAAUGUGGAGGUUUGAGAUGAAGAAAACCAAGAGGAGAAUCGCACACAAGCAGCGGGGGCACCUCAUCACAAGGAAUCGCACCCUAUUCCUGACACUUGAGUCCGUGACCCUCUUCUCACUGUUCUUGGUCCCUCGUACUUGGCGUUAUCCUCCGUUUAUGCAGAUCGCCCUAUAUUGUUUGACUGACACGAGGUGGGAUGCCUCCACAGCACAGCUGAUGAGUGGAGCGGGUCCACACCCAUGGUCUGAGCCAACAAACCUGGGCCACUGAAGCAGAGUGCAAGGAAAGAUCAUGAGCCGUGAAGAGCUUGUUUGGCACUGAGCUCUGCUGUCCUGCGAGAGGAGAGACGUGGUAGAGUCAACCUAUUCCUCUUACUGCCUUCAAUGUGUCCAAUCACAAUAUUUGUGCCCCAUCAGUGUGCUGGAACUUCUCUGCUGGACUCCUGGAAUUCCACGAGAGCUUUCUCAUCCAUGGAGGUUGUCUGGAUGCAGUUGGAAGUGACUGAUACGUCUGCUGAUAGAUGGGCCGCGUAGACAGACUGCUGGUUAACUUACCUGAGGAUCGCGGCUGGAAGACCUGAGGCCAAGAAGUUCUAACAUCUGCCAUUGGCAAGCUAAAGAGGCAGGAGAGCUGAUGUUCCAGCCCCAGGCCAAGUCUGAAGAAAUAGAAGACUUAUAUCUCACCUGGAGACAGCCAGGCAGAGAGAGAGGACACAGCAGCAUCGGCCCUCUGCUCCUUCACACUAAAUAUAACUAUAAACCCUGGAAGUAACACAGCACGCAGCCAAAGGAGAGCUCUGAAAGGUGGAAGUGGAAGGAGAACUGGUUUGAGACCCGAGGACCAGAGAAACAGCACAGUGCCAGCUGGUGUGAGCCCCUCCAAUCAACUGAUGAAGCCAACUGACCUGGACCUGGGGUUUCCCAACCCCCAGCCCAGCAACAGAAGGUGGCCAGACACCAGGCAGCAUCCAAAUGUCCAUCAACUGGUGAUGGGUGAACACCCCAUGGUCCUCCAGGAUGGAGAACUCACCAUUGAUAAGAAGGAGUCUUCUAAGACAAGCCCCCACGGAGGAGCCUCAGAAUCACUGUGCCAAGUGAAGAAAGCCUGUGACAGUAGUCUGGAGACCAUGAAUCCACUGCGUCACAGUAGCCUGUGCGGCGUGAGUCCAUUGUGUCCCAGUAGUCUGUGCGGCGUGAGUCCACUGUCACAGUAGUCUGUAGAGCAUGAGUCCACUGUGUCACAGUAGUCUGUAGAGCAUGAGUCCACUAUGUCACAGUGGUCUGUGCGGCGUGAGUCCACUGUCACAGUAGUCUGUAGAGCGUGAGUCCACUGUGUCACAGUAGUCUGUAUGACGUGAGUCCACUGUGUCCCAGUAGUCUGUGUGGCGUGAGUUCACGGUGACACAGCAGUCUGUGCAGCGUGAGUCCACUGUGCCACAGUAGUCUGUAGAGCAGGAGUCCAUUGUGUCACAGUAGUCUGUAGAGCAGGAGUCCAUUGUGUCAGAGUAGUCUGUGUGGCGUGAGUCCACUGUCACAGUAGUCUGUGUGACGUGAGUCCACUGUGUCACAGUAGUCUGUGUGACGUGAGUCCACUGUGUCCCAGUAGUCUGUGUGGCGUGAGUCCACUGUCACAGUAGUCUGUGUGAUGUGAGUCCACUGUGUCCCAGUAGUCUGUGUGGCGUGACUCCACUGUGUCACAGUAGUCUGUAGAGCAGGAGUCCACUGUGUCACAGUAGUCUGUGUGGCGUGACUCCACUGUGUCACAGUAGUCUGUGUGACGUGAGUCCACUGUGUCCCAGUAGUCUGUGUGGCGUGAGUCCACUGUCACAGUAGUCUGUAGAGUGUGAGUCCACUGUGUCACAGUAGUCUGUGUGACGUGAGUCCACUGCAUCACAGUAGUCUGUGUGGCGUGAGUCCACUGUGUCACAGUAGUCUGCUUUAUAUGUGGGAUGCCUACCACAGCAUGGCUUGCCAAGCGGUGUCAUGUCCACACCUGGGAUUCAAAACAGUGAACCCCCGGGCCACUGAAGUGGAACAUUUGAACUUAACCACUGCGCCACUGGGCCGGCCCCUGCUUACUUUAGAU